rnacentral:rRNA from 1 species
CGAGUCUUAAUAGGGCGUUUAGUUGCUGGGUAUAGACCCGAAACCAGGCGAUCUAUCCAUGAGCAGGUUGAAGGUUGGGUAACACUAACUGGAGGACCGAACCCACUGUCGUUGAAAAGCCAGGGGAUGACUUGUGGAUAGGGGUGAAAGGCUAAUCAAGCCUGGUGAUAGCUGGUUCUCCCCGAAAGCUAUUUAGGUAGCGCCUCGGACGAAUACCAUAGGGGGUAGAGCACUGUUUCGGCUAGGGGGUCAUCCCGACUUACCAAACCGAUGCAAACUCCGAAUACCUAUGAGUACUAUCCGGGAGACAGACUGCGGGUGCUAACGUCCGUAGUCAAGAGGAAAACAAUCCAGACCGCCAGCUAAGGCCCCAAAAUCAUAGUUAAGUGGGAAACGAUGUGGGAAGGCAUAGACAGCUAGGAGGUUGGCUUAGAAGCAGCCACCCUUUAAAGAAAGCGUAAUAGCUCACUAGUCGAGUCGGCCUGCGCGGAAGAUGUAACGGGGCUAAAACUAUGUGCCGAAGCUGCGGAUUUGACAUUAGUCAAGUGGUAGGGGAGCGUUCUGUAAGCCGAUGAAGGUGUAUUGAGAAGUAUGCUGGAGGUAUCAGAAGUGCGAAUGCUGACGUGAGUAACGACAAAACGGGUGAAAAACCCGUUCGCCGAAAGACCAAGGGUUCCAGUCCAACGUUAAUCGGGGCUGGGUGAGUCGACCCCUAAGGCGAGGCCGAAAGGCGUAGUCGAUGGGAAAUUGGUUAAUAUUCCAAUACUUCUGUGUAAUGCGAUGAGAGGACGGAGAAGGUUAAGUCAGCCUGGCGUUGGUUGUCCAGGUGGAAGGAUGUAGGUAUGUAUCUUAGGCAAAUCCGGGGUACUCUAUACUGAGAUCCGAUAGCAAGCUGUACUUGUACAGCGAAGUGGCUGAUACCAUGCUUCCAGGAAAAGUCUCUAAGCUUCAGUUACACAGGAAUCGUACCCGAAACCGACACAGGUGGUCAGGUCGAGUAGACCAAGGCGCUUGAGAGAACUCUGCUGAAGGAACUAGGCAAAAUGGUACCGUAACUUCGGGAGAAGGUACGCUGUUGUUGGUGAUGGAACUUGCUUCCUGAGCUGACGACAGCCGCAGAAACCAGGCCGCUGCAACUGUUUAUUAAAAACAUAGCACUCUGCAAACACGAAAGUGGACGUAUAGGGUGUGAUGCCUGCCCGGUGCUGGAAGGUUAAUUGAUGGGGUUAGCGUAAGCGAAGCUCUUGAUCGAAGCCCCAGUAAACGGCGGCCGUAACUAUAACGGUCCUAAGGUAGCGAAAUUCCUUGUCGGGUAAGUUCCGACCUGCACGAAUG